AAGCUGUGAUGAUUUAUGCACACAAUGUGGCACCUUGGGGUCGCCACGAUAUUCUGAUCGUCAGGAAGGAAAUUCUAGUGCAUCUGAGCUU
rfam:Spinacia oleracea cultivar SynViroflay scaffold33195.con0006.1, whole genome shotgun sequence.